UUUGUCAGGCACCAAACGGAUCUGCUCUACACUGCACACAUCGAUGAAUCUGACAACGGAUAUGAUUAGCUCGUUUGCUUGUGCUUCGGGAACCGCACCUGCUGUACAUGCUUCCCUAAUGUAGAGAUAACCUAGGGAAUGAAUCGAAGGAUCAAUUCGAGUAAGACAUGUCGCAAACGUUGCGGCCUGUGAUCGAAUUACGUCCUCUGAUUGUUUCAAACGGUUGUUUAAGUGAGCUAAAUCCUGAGAACUGCCUGAUAACCCUUGGAUUUCGGUCACUAGUGAAUCCACUGAGUUUACAUUCAUGUUUAUCCUCUCUUCUGCUAUCGAUUACUGUUUGCGAUUUUAGGUGCUUCGUUGGAUCGUUUGGAUUUGAU
rnacentral:lncRNA from 1 species